AGCGGCGAACGGGUGAGUAACACGUAGGUGAUCUGCCCAUCAGACGGGGACAACGAUUGGAAACGAUCGCUAAUACCGGAUAGGACGAAAGUUUAAAGGUGCUUCUGGCACCGCUGAUGGACGAGCCUGCGGCGCAUUAGCUAGUUGGUAGGGUAAAGGCCUACCAAGGCGACGAUGCGUAGCCGACCUGAGAGGGUGGACGGCCACACUGGGACUGAGACACGGCCCAGACUCCUACGGGAGGCAGCAGUAGGGAAUCUUCGGCAAUGGGCGAAAGCCUGACCGAGCAACGCCGCGUGAAUGAUGAAGGCCUUCGGGUUGUAAAAUUCUGUUAUAAGGGAAGAACGACUUUAGUAGGAAAUGGCUAGAGUGUGACGGUACCUUAUGAGAAAGCCACGGCUAACUACGUGCCAGCAGCCGCGGUAAUACGUAGGUGGCGAGCGUUAUCCGGAAUUAUUGGGCGUAAAGAGCGCGCAGGUGGUUGACUAAGUCUGAUGUGAAAGCCCACGGCUUAACCGUGGAGGGUCAUUGGAAACUGGUCGACUUGAGUGCAGAAGAGGGAAGUGGAAUUCCAUGUGUAGCGGUGAAAUGCGUAGAUAUAUGGAAGAACACCAGUGGCGAAGGCGGCUCUCUGGUCUGCAACUGACGCUGAGGCUCGAAAGCAUGGGUAGCGAACAGGAUUAGAUACCCUGGUAGUCCAUGCCGUAAACGAUGAGUGCUAAGUGU
rnacentral:rRNA from 1 species